rnacentral:rRNA from 1 species
UACGUAGGGUGCAAGCGUUAUCCGGAAUUAUUGGGCGUAAAGAGCUCGUAGGCGGUGUGUCGCGUCGGCCGUGAAAACCUGCAGCUUAACUGUGGGCUUGCGGUCGAUACGGGCAUCACUGGAGUUCGGCAGGGGAGACUGGAAUUCCUGGUGUAGCGGUGAAAUGCGCAGAUAUCAGGAGGAACACCGGUGGCGAAGGCGGGUCUCUGGGCCGAUACUGACGCUGAGGAGCGAAAGCCAGGGGAGCGAACGGG